CCCUUAGAUGUCCUGGGCCGCACGCGCGUUACACUGAUGCAUUCAACGAGCUUAUAACCUUGGCCGAGAGGCCUGGGCAAUCUUGUUAACGUGCAUCGUGAUAGGGAUAGAUUAUUGAAAUUAUUAAUCUUGAACGAGGAAUUCCUAGUAAACGCAGAUCAUCAAUCUACAUUGAUUACGUCCCUGCCCUUUGUACACACCGCCCGUCGCACCUACCGAUUGGAUGGUCCGGUGAAGCCUCGGGAUUGUGGUUCUUGCCGCUUUAUUGUAGCGUGACCGCGAGAACUUGUCUAAACCUUAUCAUCUAGAGGAAGGUGAAGUCGUAACA
rnacentral:rRNA from 1 species